rnacentral:rRNA from 1 species
GGUGACCUGCGGAGGAUCAUUACCUAGAGUUGUAGGCUUUGCCUGCUAUCUCUUACCCAUGUCUUUUGAGUACCUUACGUUUCCUCGGCGGGUCCGCCCGCCGAUUGGACACUUUAAACCAUUUGCAGUUGCAAUCAGCGUCUGAAAAAACUUAAUAGUUACAACUUUCAACAACGGAUCUCUUGGUUCUGGCAUCGAUGAAGAACGCAGCGAAAUGCGAUAAGUAGUGUGAAUUGCAGAAUUCAGUGAAUCAUCGAAUCUUUGAACGCACAUUGCGCCCCUUGGUAUUCCAUGGGGCAUGCCUGUUCGAGCGUCAUUUGUACCUUCAAGCUUUGCUUGGUGUUGGGUGUUUGUCUCGCCUCUGCGUGUAGACUCGCCUCAAAACAAUUGGCAGCCGGCGUAUUGAUUUCGGAGCGCAGUACAUCUCGCGCUUUGCACUCAUAACGACGACGUCCAAAAGUACAUUUUUACACUCUUGACCUCGGAUCAGGUAGGGAUACCCGCUGAACUUAAGCAUAUCAAUA